CUAAGGCAGAACUUCCCCGCUGCAUCGCGCUGCAGGCACGAAUAUGCCCUGAGGAGACGGGCAUGUUUCUGCACUCCCCGGAGAGCAGUGGGAGCAAGGCCGGUCGCGUGGCAGCCCUGGGCCUGCUGGGAGCGCUGGCCCACUCUGACGCACCUGCAGUGAGAGAGAAGCUGCCCCAGGUGAUGGAG